UUCUUCAAAUCCAAGUCACUUACGGGUUGAGAGAAAUCCAUAUCGGUCGAAACCAAUAGAUCCGCUAUACGCUUUCAUUGCACAAGCUCUUCCUCUCAGUUUUAGAAACCCUAGCCACUGCCGUUCGAUUUCGCCGUUCGACUUCACCGUUCGUCUUCACUGUCCAAGCCGAUUCACUUGCAAAAUGGUGGAUUAAAAUGGAAUGUAGGUAGUAGCUUUGGAAGCCCAAGGAUGAGUGGAGGUUUUUGAAUUAUAAAGGAUGCAGGGGAAUUUUGUUGUUGCCUUCUCAAACUAUGGAAUUGGUUUUAAUAGGUUUUAAUGGCUUUAACAGUAAUUGUAUAGAAAAAUAUGUUUAUUUUGCAAUUUUUUUAUUGAUAGUUUUGUACUAGUAUUUUGCUCACUCUUUAGUAAUGAAUUGAUAUUGAUUCGUA